rnacentral:lncRNA from 9 species
CAAAUUUCUCAAGCCUAAAACAUAUAUGGUUAAAAAUCAGAAUAAAUAAGCAACAUUCUACUUUAGAUCUUAAGGUCAACAUAUCCUAAAGGUCCUAUCUUUUCCCAUUCGCCAGCUAGUGAGCUCUUUAUACAUCUACUGAUUAUUUGUGUGAUAAUCCCACUGUGAAAUGCAAAAUGGUGUGGGGUUGUAAAUAAUGACAAUAAAACAGCUGAAUAGUGGCUGUUGGAAGAACUCACUGAAACAUACAUUCUUAGAUAUCAAUUUUUUUGAAGGAGGUAUUUAAACAUUCAAAAUACAUUGAUGUCAAAUCUAUUUUUUCUCCAGAAAUGUUUAUUGAAUUGUAAACUAUUUUAUAUCAUGGUCUAUGGAGUAGAUCUUUGAACACAGGCUAUCCAUUCUUUUGGACACUGAAGACUAAAAGCCUCAUUUCAAGGAGAAUCCUGGCCUAGUUCCUAGCCAUGUGGCUCUCAGACAGGUGGGCUGGGCAGAAUGGAUGAGUCAGAGUGCCCCAGCAUGGGGUAACAGUGAUGAGUAUGCUUUCACCACAAACUUGGAAACAAGGCACUCAGAUUGCCCUCAGAGAAUUAGGCUCAGAAAUCAACAUCAAAAAGUACUGAUUUGGGCAAAGUCUCUUUAAAGAAUCAGAAUGACUCACAGGCCAGAAUUAAUGCUGGCUACAACCAAACUUGAAAUACGGAAAUGCAAUUCAGAAUGUGUUGGAAAAGAGUUGGUAAAGAAUGGACGUGUCUAAAGAAAAAUCAAAGCGACAGCUGGUACCCAGCUCAGCAGGCCCAGGAAUGAUCCUCCCUGUCAGACUGGCCUCAGUUUCUCUUUCUCCCUCUAAGGCUGCCCCAUGUGCCCUGCAAUUCCAUCUGGUACCUGGAAAACCACUCAUCCCCUUGAUAGGGAAGCAAAGCCCAGUGAGGUAAGUCCUAUAGGAACCAGCCAGAGAAUUCAGAGGGACAUGGAAACCUGAUAGACUUCCACUAGUGUCUAAUAGUGUAAGAUAUCAACCCGAGCCUUGUUGAGAUAGCUCAUAUCACGGUCCAUCAUAGCUCUGUUGUGGUGAGACAAACAUUAAACUUGGAGUUAGCAGGUUUCAGGGUUAUGGUUUUGGUCUCAUUAUCUGUGUGACCUUGAAAAUCUAACUUUUUGAAUCCUUGACUACAAAGUUACGGAUAGGGAUAUUUACUACACAGCAUUGUGAAAAGUUUAGUUGCAAUGAUUGAUGUAAAAGUAUACUGUAAACUGAAAGAACUUUACAGAAUAAUGUUAUUUCUUUCUUCUUCUUCUUCUUUUUUUUUUUUUUUUUUUUUUUUUUUUCUUUUUGCCUUUUUUUAGGGUCCACUUCCCAUGGCAUAUGGAGGUUGCCAGGCUAGGGGUCUAAUUGGAGCUCUAGCUGCCAGCCUGCGCCACAACCACAGCAAUGCGGGAUCCAAACCAUGACUUCAACCUACACCACAGCUCACGGCAACGCUGGAUCCUUAACCCACUGAGCAAGGCCAGGGAUCGAACCCACAACCUCAUGAUUCCUAGUUGGAUUUGUUAACCACUGCGCCACGACGGUAACUCCAGAAUAAUGUUAUUUCUUUAUUCAUGAGCCAUAAGAGGAAUUUGUGUGUGAAUGAUUUUUGAAAUGCAAGUGAAUUUAAAAUUUUUAUGUCCCCAAAAGUGGAGAGCUGAUUUAGUUAUAUAAUGUAUAGAAAUCCAUCGAUUACUGAAAAGAAA